UAGGGAAUCUUCCACAGUGGGCGGAAAGCCUGAUGGAGCAACGCCGCGUGUGUGAUGAAGGGUUUCGGCUCGUAAAACACUGUUGUAAGAGAAGAAUGACAUUGAGAGUAACUGUUCAAUGUGUGACGGUAUCUUACCAGAAAGGAACGGCUAAAUACGUGCCAG
rnacentral:rRNA from 1 species